rnacentral:tRNA from 1 species
ACCUGAGUGGCUCAGUCGGUUAAGCGUCUGAUUUUGACUCAGGUCAUGAUCUCACGGUUUGUGAGUUCGAGACCCACUUUGGGCU